CAUCUCGCAGAUCUGAGCCUGGCAGCAGCGUGCGUGCGUGUGUUUACAUUUUCCGCAUUUUCCUUUUCCGAGUCGUGAAAAACGCUUUUCAUCGCCGAUUUUCCCAUCACCAGCGUGUUUAUCGAGCGCAUUUACGCCCGCGUAUUGUGAUUUGAGUGGAAUUUUCGCGAAAAACGAGCGAAUUUUGGCAGUGUUUUGCGGUUUUCUUCCGACAAACUUGAGUGCAUGUGCUUUUUUUCGGGCUCGGUUGCCAGCGAACGUAAACAAACAAACAAAAACAACACACCUGCCUGCCUGUCUGUGUCCCGCAGAACACAGUUCGAGAUCCGGAAGCUUGAAAUUCUCGUGCAAGAGUGAUCAAUAGGACGGUCAACUCUUUUUUUUAUCCAACAAGUCCUGAAAUCAUCACAAAAAAACAGUUCAACACCCUAAUACGCACUCCGUACUAAUCAUUACGCAAAGCCACGCAGUUCAAAUAUUUAUGUUUCCAUUUUACUCCAAACGCUAGAACAGUCAUAUCACGUUCGCAAGUGCUAAACUAGUGUAGCAGUACUACGUCACAAUCAGUCGAGCGGUUUUUUGUUGUUGUUGUGUUUGACGAAAACAUAGGCGAUUACGCCGCCGCCGGUGAUUCGCGUCUUCAUAAUAUAAAUAUAAAUCGGAAGGUAUUGGGGUGGCGCUGAUGGAAAGCAUCGUCCUCUUUCGCGUUCCGCAGAUUAAUAAAUAUGCGGGGAGAGAAGAAAUGAAAUCAAAACUGGCUGGUCCAAAAUAGAAUUAAAUUUGUAAUGUAAAAUUUGUUACCAGGGGAGUGCUUGCUUUAGUUGCCUGGCGAAAGGGAUUGUUGGAAUGGAAAACAAAUAGCUUUUUCUUCUUGUUUCCUUUUUAGUAUUUUCAUUUGCAUAUACUGCCCAUGUUUGCAUAAAUGUCCCAUGUGCAAAAACAGCAAGCUGAGAAAUACGCAUUUGAAGUUUGUCCCACGCAUAAGGCUACGUGUUGAGUUUUCGUGAAAAAAAUGGAUUUCCUCCUGAUUUCUAGAACAAAGUACUGGAUAUUAUAGGCUUUUUUACAAGAGCACACGAUUCUGAACCAAACUGCAUGAUUUACUAAAAGCGAUGAAAAUGAGUAUGGGAAAUUUAUGCGAUCAUGGGCAGUAUAGGCCAAUGCAAAUAUUUGAAGAAAAAAAAAAUGAAAAUAAAGAAACCUCGAAACUCAAAAAAAAACCAAAUAUUAAAAAAAAAACAUUAAUUUUAAAAUUCAAAAAUUCGAUUCUUCAGAAAUUUAAAAAAAAUAAAAAAUACAAAAAAGUCCAAAUAAAAUAAAUUAAGAAAAAAAUAACAUUAAAGUGCAGAAAUUAUAAAAUAAGUUGCAAAUUUUUUCAAGUCAAAAGUUUCUAACUUCGAAAUAAAUUCAAAAAAUUGAAAACUUGUAAGGCCUCUCGGAACGAGCUGUCAAGUAGGACCUUUUCUGUCAAGAAGGUGGUUAAUUUAAAAAAAAAAUGAAUCAAACAUCAAUUUUUAAUACUUUGCGGUUGUACAAAGGACAUUGUACUCAGAAAAAUAAGCUUUAUCGUUGUGAACAAUAAUAUCACAAAUUAAAGCUUAAUUUUAGGAUUAGAUUAGAUUAGUUUCCAGGAAAGUUGUAUUCAUACCCAUGAAA